UGUGAGCUCGAUGAGUAGGGCGGGACACGUGGUAUCCUGUCUGAAUAUGGGGGGACCAUCCUCCAAGGCUAAAUACUCCUGACUGACCGAUAGUGAACCAGUACCGUGAGGGAAAGGCGAAAAGAACCCCGGCGAGGGGAGUGAAAAAGAACCUGAAACCGUGUACGUACAAGCAGUGGGAGCACGCUUAGGCGUGUGACUGCGUACCUUUUGUAUAAUGGGUCAGCGACUUAUAUUCUGUAGCAAGGUUAACCGAAUAGGGGAGCCGAAGGGAAACCGAGUCUUAACUGGGCGUUAAGUUGCAGGGUAUAGACCCGAAACCCGGUGAUCUAGCCAUGGGCAGGUUGAAGGUUGGGUAACACUAACUGGAGGACCGAACCGACUAAUGUUGAAAAAUUAGCGGAUGACUUGUGGCUGGGGGUGAAAGGCCAAUCAAACCGGGAGAUAGCUGGUUCUCCCCGAAAGCUAUUUAGGUAGCGCCUCGUGAAUUCAUCUCCGGGGGUAGAGCACUGUUUCGGCAAGGGGGUCAUCCCGACUUACCAACCCGAUGCAAACUGCGAAUACCGGAGAAUGUUAUCACGGGAGACACACGGCGGGUGCUAACGUCCGUCGUGAAGAGGGAAACAACCCAGACCGCCAGCUAAGGUCCCAAAGUCAUGGUUAAGUGGGAAACGAUGUGGGAAGGCCCAGACAGCCAGGAUGUUGGCUUAGAAGCAGCCAUCAUUUAAAGAAAGCGUAAUAGCUCACUGGUCGAGUCGGCCUGCGCGGAAGAUGUAACGGGGCUAAACCAUGCACCGAAGCUGCGGCAGCGACGCUGAUGCGUUGUUGGGUAGGGGAGCGUUCUGUAAGCCUGCGAAGGUGUGCUGUGAGGCAUGCUGGAGGUAUCAGAAGUGCGAAUGCUGACAUAAGUAACGAUAAAGCGGGUGAAAAGCCCGCUCGCCGGAAGACCAAGGGUUCCUGUCCAACGUUAAUCGGGGCAGGGUGAGUCGACCCCUAAGGCGAGGCCGAAAGGCGUAGUCGAUGGGAAACAGGUUAAUAUUCCUGUACUUGGUGUUACUGCGAAGGGGGGACGGAGAAGGCUAUGUUGGCCGGGCGACGGUUGUCCCGGUUUAAGCGUGUAGGCUGGUUUUCCAGGCAAAUCCGGAAAAUCAAGGCUGAGGCGUGAUGACGAGGCACUACGGUGCUGAAGCAACAAAUGCCCUGCUUCCAGGAAAAGCCUCUAAGCAUCAGGUAACAUCAAAUCGUACCCCAAACCGACACAGGUGGUCAGGUAGAGAAUACCAAGGCGCUUGAGAGAACUCGGGUGAAGGAACUAGGCAAAAUGGUGCCGUAACUUCGGGAGAAGGCACGCUGAUAUGUAGGUGAAGUCCCUUGCGGAUGGAGCUGAAAUCAGUCGAAGAUACCAGCUGGCUGCAACUGUUUAUUAAAAACACAGCACUGUGCAAACACGAAAGUGGACGUAUACGGUGUGACGCCUGCCCGGUGCCGGAAGGUUAAUUGAUGGGGUCAGCGCAAGCGAAGCUCUUGAUCGAAGCCCCGGUAAACGGCGGCCGUAACUAUAACGGUCCUAAGGUAGCGAAAUUCCUUGUCGGGUAAGUUCCGACCUGCACGAAUGGCGUAAUGAUGGCCAGGCUGUCUCCACCCGAGACUCAGUGAAAUUGAACUCGCUGUGAAGAUGCAGUGUACCCGCGGCAAGACGGAAAGACCCCGUGAACCUUUACUAUAGCUUGACACUGAACAUUGAGCCUUGAUGUGUAGGAUAGGUGGGAGGCUUUGAAGUGUGGACGCCAGUCUGCAUGGAGCCGACCUUGAAAUACCACCCUUUAAUGUUUGAUGUUCUAACGUUGACCCGUAAUCCGGGUUGCGGACAGUGUCUGGUGGGUAGUUUGACUGGGGCGGUCUCCUCCUAAAGAGUAACGGAGGAGCACGAAGGUUGGCUAAUCCUGGUCGGACAUCAGGAGGUUAGUGCAAUGGCAUAAGCCAGCUUGACUGCGAGCGUGACGGCGCGAGCAGGUGCGAAAGCAGGUCAUAGUGAUCCGGUGGUUCUGAAUGGAAGGGCCAUCGCUCAACGGAUAAAAGGUACUCCGGGGAUAACAGGCUGAUACCGCCCAAGAGUUCAUAUCGACGGCGGUGUUUGGCACCUCGAUGUCGGCUCAUCACAUCCUGGGGCUGAAGUAGGUCCCAAGGGUAUGGCUGUUCGCCAUUUAAAGUGGUACGCGAGCUGGGUUUAGAACGUCGUGAGACAGUUCGGUCCCUAUCUGCCGUGGGCGCUGGAGAACUGAGGGGGGCUGCUCCUAGUACGAGAGGACCGGAGUGGACGCAUCACUGGUGUUCGGGUUGUCAUGCCAAUGGCACUGCCCGGUAGCUAAAUGCGGAAGAGAUAAGUGCUGAAAGCAUCUAAGCACGAAACUUGCCCCGAGAUGAGUUCUCCCUGAC
rnacentral:rRNA from 1 species